ACACAUCUAACCACUCUUCAGCUGAUAUCCACUUGCUGACAAAUGAAUCUCUCUGGCCCCUGGACUGUGCCCUGAAACACAGCUUAAAACAGCAGAAUGAACAGUAAUCCCAGAGAUCCUGAGAUGAGAAAAGGGUGUUUGACUUAUUCAAAGAAGACCAAGGAAGCCCAAAGACCAGAGAAGAGUGCAGGAAAGGGGCGGCGGUCUGAGAUGCAGUCAGAGCAGUGGCAAGCCCCCAGAGUCUGUGGCAAAGACUUCAGGUUUCAUCCUGAAGAGGAAGACAGGUCUUUGGAGAGUUUUGAUCAAGGAAGUGAGAUGAAAUAUCUUAGGCUUACAAAGAACUACUCUGACAUCUAAAUGGAAAAUGGACUGAUGAAGCAAAAGAAGCCACAAGGAAGCCAGUUCAGAGGCUAUUGAAAUGCUCCAGAGGAACAGCGGUUUAUUGAAAGGAAAGCAAAUGUCCAGAAGCAAAAACAAACAAACAAAAAACAAACAAACAAACAAAAACAGAAAAAACUUCCCCAAAAGUAAAGAAUCACAGCUUUAUUCAGUAGCUCCUCAAUUAAAAUAGUCAUCUUCUUAAUUGUGCCAUCUUCAGAAGCAGCCAUAUAUACUGUAGUUAAGAGGCACAUGGUGAGAAAUUUGGGGUCCAAUCAAGAUGAUAGGAUUCAUCUACAUGGCAGCCCUCAAAGAUUCUGGAAGAGAAAAAUGGUGAAAAGAAGAAGCAGCAAAGUAUCCAGCCAAAGUUUCUGUUUGCCAUCUAUUCAAUUUAAUACUAAGAGAUUUGUGCUUGACUGUCUUUGAAGAAAUUAAAGAGAAGGCUAAAGA
rnacentral:lncRNA from 1 species